AUUGAACGCUGGCGGCAUGCCUUACACAUGCAAGUCGAACGGCAGCACGGGAGCAAUCCUGGUAGCGAGUGGCGAACGGGUGAGUAAUAUAUCGGAACGUGCCCAGUAGUGGGGGAUAACUGCUCGAAAGAGCAGCUAAUACCGCAUACGACCUAAGGGUGAAAGGGGGGGAUCGCAAGACCUCUCGCUAUUGGAGCGGCCGAUAUCAGAUUAGCUAGUGGGUGGGGUAAAGGCCUACCAAGGCAACGAUCUGUAGUUGGUCAGAGAGGACGACCAGCCACACUGGGACUGAGACACGGCCCAGACUCCUACGGGAGGCAGCAGUGGGGAAUUUUGGACAAUGGGCGCAAGCCUGAUCCAGCAAUGCCGCGUGCAGGAAGAAGGCCUUCGGGUUGUAAACUGCUUUUGUCAGGGAAGAAAUCCUCUAGGUUAAUACCCUUGGGGGGAUGACGGUACCUGAAGAAUAAGCACCGGCUAACUACGUGCCAGCCGCCGCCGUAAAAC
rnacentral:rRNA from 1 species